AACGUAGGAGACGAGCGUUAUCCGGAUUUACUGGGCGUAAAGGGCAAGUAGGCGGUGGACAAAGUUGGACGUGACAUCUCUCGGCUUAACUGGGAGGGGUCGUCCAAAACUAGUCGACUAGAGGGCAGGAGAGGGGAGUGGAAUUCCUAGUGUAGCGGUGGAAUGCUUAGAGAUUAGGAAGAACACCAGUGGCGAAGGCGACUCUCUGGCCUGACCCUGACGCUGAGAGGCGAAAGCUAGGGGAGCGAACGGG
rnacentral:rRNA from 1 species